rnacentral:rRNA from 1 species
GUUCUGUAAGCCUGUGAAGGUGUGCUGUGAGGCAUGCUGGAGGUAUCAGAAGUGCGAAUGCUGACAUAAGUAACGAUAAAGCGGGUGAAAAGCCCGCUCGCCGGAAGACCAAGGGUUCCUGUCCAACGUUAAUCGGGGCAGGGUGAGUCGACCCCUAAGGCGAGGCCGAAAGGCGUAGUCGAUGGGAAACGGGUUAAUAUUCCCGUACUUGGUGUUACUGCGAAGGGGGGACGGAGAAGGCUAUGUUGGCCGGGCGACGGUUGU